rnacentral:rRNA from 1 species
UUUGAUCCUGGCUCAGAUUGAACGCUGGCGGCAUGCCUUACACAUGCAAGUCGAACGGUAACGCGGGGCAACCUGGCGACGAGUGGCGAACGGGUGAGUAAUAUAUCGGAACGUGCCCAAUCGUGGGGGAUAACGUAGAGAAAUUUACGCUAAUACCGCAUACGAUCUAAGGAUGAAAGCGGGGGAUCGCAAGACCUCGCGCGAUUGGAGCGGCUGAUAUCAGAUUAGGUUGUUGGUGAGGUAAAAGCUCACCAAGCCGACGAUCUGUAGCUGGUUUGAGAGAACGACCAGCCACACUGGGACUGAGACACGGCCCAGACUCCUACGGGAGGCAGCAGUGGGGAAUUUUGGACAAUGGGCGAAAGCCUGAUCCAGCAAUGCCGCGUGCAGGAAGAAGGCCUUCGGGUUGUAAACUGCUUUUGUACGGAACGAAACGGCUCUUUCUAAUAAAGAGGGCUAAUGACGGUACCGUAAGAAUAAGCACC